rnacentral:sRNA from 1 species
GGGGUUGCUGUCGCUGGUCAUUGAUUUCCCUCUUAUUGUUGCGGAGGGCUGGAGGGAUGUAUUUCCCGGUUGCCAUUGUCAGAUUAUAUGCUAUGCAUGGAGUAUUUCACUCUGAGGCGCUUAUUAGGAGGAAGAAUGAUGGAGAAGACCAAGUAGGCUCAUUUCCUUGAAGAGUUGAAGAGGUGAAGUUAGAUUCGUAGCAGUCCAAACACUUGGGAAGAGAAAUAACACGAAAAGGAACCCAGGACGGCGUGGCUGCUGAGCCAACCAUGUAUCCCAUGGAUGGUCCAUACUUUAUAGAAAAUGGAUAUCGUGGAUAGCUGAUUAUCCAUACUCAUUCCGGUGGCGAUGAGUAUAUAUUAUAUGCUGAUAGCAACAAUGCUGCAGCGUUGCAAUAUAAAAUAUAAAGC